CCAAAUUUUUAUCCAGGUUGACCU
rnacentral:rRNA from 1 species